CUGAGCUACAAAACCUUCUGCACUUUGUCGAAACGAACUAAAAGUUGGUCGGAAUUAGGUCUUAUGAUUGCAUAAGCUUAUAGCCUGUCAGAUAUUCAAUGGCUCUGUCUCGAGUUCCCUUCCUGACCAUUCUUGCGACUUUGAUCGAUGCAUCUCAGCAACCACCAUGAGACGCCUUUGCAGGAUGGAGGCCAUGAAGAGGAAAAUGGAACACAUGCCGAACAUGACGGUGAUAGGGAAAGCACUUACAUUGUAAAGCACGAUACAGACGAAUAUAUUGAGGGGAAUACGGAAGAAGUUCAUAAUUGUGCUCCUGGCCUCUUCAGGAAUGUACUGAGAUCUCAUUUUCAUAAUCGAUGGCCAGAAAAUCCCGACACAUGCCUCAAAGGUACAGAAGCCAAAG
rnacentral:misc_RNA from 1 species